rnacentral:rRNA from 1 species
AUGAAUGAUGACGAUGGAUAUACGUACGCACCUCACCUGUCGCCAACUUGGCAAUGCAGAUGCAGGACGAGGCGUGGCGAGCACGGGGAACUUGCCUCCCGAUGCACCGCGGCCCGGGUUUCCGCCCACCAUCGCCGGAGCCGGCACAAAAGUGCGCGCCCCCCUCCCCCUGCCGGCUUCAAGCACGGGACAUGCAUGCAUGAUGUUUCGCUCUCCGCUUGUCGCCGUUGGAGGAAGUCGCCUGCAAAAAUUCCUCACGAUACUCACAAGAAUCUGCCAAACUCAUAUAUCAGCAGUGGCAACUUUCUAAUUUUGUUUGCAAAACCGUGUCGUGUAUGA